UACGUAGGGGGCAAGCGUUGUCCGGAUUUAUUGGGCGUAAAGAGCGUGUAGGCGGCCGUACAGGUCAGCUGUGAAAACUCGAGGCUCAACCUCGAGACGUCGGUUGAAACCGUACGGCUAGAGUCCGGAAGAGGAGAGUGGAAUUCCCGGUGUAGCGGUGAAAUGCGCAGAUAUCGGGAAGAACACCCGUGGCGAAGGCGGCUCUCUGGGACGGUACUGACGCUGAGACGCGAAAGCGUGGGGAGCAAACCGG
rnacentral:rRNA from 1 species